rnacentral:rRNA from 1 species
UACGUAGGGUGCAAGCGUUAAUCGGAAUUACUGGGCGUAAAGCGUGCGCAGGCGGUUGUGCAAGACAGAUGUGAAAUCCCCGGGCUUAACCUGGGAAUUGCAUUUGUGACUGCACGGCUAGAGUGUGUCAGAGGGGGGGUAGAAUUCCACGUGUAGCAGUGAAAUGCGUAGAUAUGUGGAGGAAUACCGAUGGCGAAGGCAGCCCCCUGGGAUAACACUGACGCUCAU